GGCUACAUAAAAAAAACUUCGUGGCAGUUCCAAAUUUGCGAACACAUUCCGAUAGUGAAAGUUUUGUUGAACUUUCCACGUCAGCAAGGUAAAUUAGAUUUGGAUAGUUUACGAUAUUUUUUUUUCAACUGAAAAUGCCAGCGCUGUCUAAUUAUUUGGAGUUUCAUUCAAUACUUCAAAGGCCUUGAGGUAGGCCGAUAAGCUCCUUCAACGUCGUAAUUAUGGUCGAGACUUGUGUGCAGCGUGUCGUGCCCCCACAGACAGCAACAUACCACGCGCAGGAAGGGAAAAAUAUCGAAAACGCGCAUUACCUCGGGUUCUUUUGAGCGAGAAGGAGCAAUCACAACUAUCUGUGUGACGAGGAUUGCUGCAAUCGCUUGCAAAGUUUGGGAGGAGCAGACAAAUUCAACUUCAUGAUAUCCUGUGUCACGCUGGGAAAUUAUUGUUAACAUUGUAUCAUUGUCACAUAUUUCUCCACGUGGCACAUGACUGGAACUUGUAAAGCACGGUUAAUAUUAGAUUUUGACAAACGGAACCUUUGUGUGACAGCACAGAGACCCCUCCACAUUGGCAUGUUGAAUGUGUCUGCACUGCCGCUCCGUCAGAAGUGUCGGUGUAUUGUGAUGAACCGCUGAUGUAAUGAUUCGACUGGGGCGGAAGCUAAUAAGUCCAGUUUGGAUAUUUAGUGGCAAUAUCGGUCUGUCUAAUAACUGUUUAUUUGAAGUUUAUUACAUACUUACCACUCUCUUUGGAUGAGUUUAGCGCUAUUCAUUUUCUGAAGUGUUAUCUCCUUAGUCAUGAUGAAUUGCAGCCCUAAUAGGCCUAACUUCUCUACACACUUCAAAAGUUGUUUUUACUGUAGGAAUAGGCUACAGAAUUUACAAAAAUAUAUUUUUUUACUAAAUUAAAAUAAAGUUGUUGUUUAGGCUACACUAUAGAUUUUUUUUGUUUCUUUUUCACAGCCAUAUAUGGACACCAUUUUUUUGGAUAAGGGAAGACCAAUGAUUGGAUGGACUGUAAUAACUGAAGAUAAUGCCAGAGGGGCCUUUAACUGACUACAAGAGGAAGCCUUCAAUCUUUGGCCCCAAAUGUCCGGUGGGGAAGACAACCAUUGUCACAAAAUGGACCAAAGGACAUGACCUUACAAGUGCACUCCAGGGUCUGUGUACGUUUUGUUAUUUUGAUUUCCGAGUGAAAAUGGAGAGUGAAAAACAGAACAUCAACUUAUUUUCUCACAAUGUGAAUUAUUGUGUGGAUUAUAAUUAACUGACAGUGUUGUAAGGGUUGAUACCUUUUUUGUUAGAGCAAAUCAAGUCUGACAUUUUAAUGUAGAAAUUACAAACUUUAGAAGCCUUUAAACCUUGAAUACAUUGCAAGUUUGCAUUUUCUGCUGUGCAGGAAAUUUCCCACAACAGGCUGAUCAAAUUAAGAUCCUACACCUGUAUACAUUUAUAGAUGUAGGCCAAUUGUCGUAGCAAAAGCCGUGUUCACAAUUGAAGAGAAUAGCAUCCGUCUGCCUUUCAGUCAGCAGGAAAGGAUGUUGAUGAGCUAUAAACCAUAUUAAUAAAAAGGCUUAUUUUAACUUACUGUAUUGGCUACAAUAACAAAAAUCACGAAACAUACAUGGACCCUCCAGGUAAGCCUCAUGUCUCCCUUCCAUGCACCACACGCUGAUACAAU